GAUUAGUCAGUGAAUUAAAGAGAGUUCUUGUUCCUGGAUAAUUUGGAAUGAACACAUUUCCUGUUCACUCAGAGAUACAGCAGCGAGUUUAUUCUGGGUGGCUUCCACAGUGACCAUUGUGGAGAAGAAAUCUUGUAAUAUAAUUGAAGAACAAUAGCCAUAUAAUUAACACAGAUGUUCAGAUACCUUGACUAUGAAUAAUAGUUUCAAUAAGGAAGACAGAAUGAGUUCUGACACGAUGGUUGGGAGCUGUGACAGGCAGACGAAAAAUGGAGCCAAAUGGCAUGGAGGUGUCAUGAUGUUGGAACAGUAACAAUAACUCAACCAACCAGGGCUUGUCUGAAUACAAUCCUACAGCAGCAGGAGCUGUGGAGAUAUAGAAGGCAAGGAAGACCAGGUUGUGAGGGAAGACGAAUUUACUCCCAGGAAUGUUGGGAUUGAGAGUAAUAUUCUCCAAUAAUGGUGGAAGACAGAACAAUAAAAGCCCACCAGCUCCUUCUGCAUGGUGGGAUAAGAGAAAAGCCAAGGGCAGAAGUGAGAAAAAUAACCAUCACCAAACUGAAAAGAAAACCUUUAUAAAAAAACUGGAUUGAUAAAUGACCUUUAGUAGUGGAAAGAUACCAUUCCAAUGAAGCAUGAAUUGAAAGGAUUUCUUCUGAAAGCUAAUUUACAUUUUUCUUUUUUUUUUUUUCAUUUUCAGUGUGUUUUAGCAGGUGUAUUGUUCUACAUGGUUAGUUUCUUUACCUCUUUGAGAAAAAUGGGUCAGCUUGACACAUCUGGAUGAAAGAAUCCGUUAGGUGAUUAUGAUUGAAGACAGAUUAAGCCUUGUUAUGAGGGGAAUAUUUGGGGGCUUACCCUGAGGUGAUAUUUGAUGAUUUAGCUGUGGGAGAAUUUCCCUCCCAAGAUCAGCGUGACUGACACUGAAAUUGCUACAGGGGAACCGGACCUUUCCAAGAGGUGACAAGGACAUUUACCUGGUACAACACAAUGGUUCUGGACUGGAAGUCUAGUCCCAUUGAUGAAGUUCCCAAAAGAUGUCCAGGUCCUAAUCCCUGGAAUCUGUGAAUAUGUCAUCUUACACAUCAAAAGAACUUUGAAAAUGUGAUUGAGGUUAAGGACCUUGGAAUGAGGAGAUUACCUUGGAUUAUCUGGUUGGGUCCAAGCUAAUCACAUGAGUCCUUAAAGGAGAAGAACCUUUUUUAGCUGGGUCAGAGAGAGAUGUGAUGAUGAAAACAGGCUCAGGGAGAUGCACUGUAAGAAGGGCUUGACCAGUUGUUUUUGACUUUGAAGAUGGAGGGAAGGGCCAGGAGCCAAGGAAGGUGGGUGGCUUUUGGAAGGUGGAAAAAGCAAGGGAACAUUCUCUCCAGAGCCUCCAGAAAGGAGCUCAGCCCUGUUGACAUCUUUGUUUUUAUUUUUUAUUUUUAGUAGCAUUGAGGUCUCACUAUGUUGCACAGGCUGGUCUUGAACUCUUGAGCUCAAGCACUCCUCCCGCCUUGGCUUCCCAAAGUGCUGGGAUUAUAGGCAUGUGCCACCACAUCUGGCUUCCUACUGACAUCUUAACUUUAGUGCAGUGAGACUCAUAUUUGAAUUUCUGACCUUAUAUUAUAGAACCAUAAGACAUUAUAGAAUUAUAUAGAAUUAUAGAACCAUAAGACAAUAACUUUGUGUUGUUUUAAGAUACUAAAUUUUUGGUAAUUUGUUAUGGCAGCACAAUAAAACCAAUAUAGCAUUAUAUUAUGCCAAUAUCAUCUCUUUGUUGACUAUUGCUAUUAUAGUUUGUUUUAUGGGUCUUGUGUAAACAAUCAAGCUAUAAUAUUGGGUUAACUCCCUAAGGAAAACUUGGAAUAUAGAACAUUAUUUUAAAGACUGAAUUAGGUAAAUACACCUGCCAGUGAAUACAUUAACAAAUUAAUUAAUAUAUUCACUCUUUUCACUCACAAAUACUUUUUGAGCCCCUAUUACUAGCCAAACAUUUUGUUAGAUUCUGAGAAGGGUCUGCUAGACAACAUUGUGACUAUAGUUAAUAACAAUAUAUUGUACUCUUGAAAAUUACUAAGAGAGUAGAUUUUAAGUGUUCUCACCACAAAAAAUAAGUAUGUGAGGUAAUGCAGAUGUUAGUUAGCUUGAUUUAGCCAUUCCCCAGUGUAUACAUAUUUCAAACCUUCAUAUUAUACAUGGAUAAAUAUAUACAAUUUUUAUUUGUCAAUUAAAAGCCCCUCGAUGAAUACAGUUUCCAUUCUGUCCUUGAGGUGGAGCUUGUAGACUUGGUGGGGUCCGGGGAUCAACUUUUAAACAGGCAGUUCCAAAGUGUGGAGUGGAUAGGCUUAUUCUCUUUGUUGCUUUUAUGAUAGGUAUUUAGAAUGCACUUUCCUCUGUUAAGUUAAGCCAGCCACCAUUCCCUCAUUCAGUUUCCAUCCUCCAUGAAUUUGCUCACAUCUGCGGUCUACUGUCACUCAUUCUUUCCUUCUCUUCCUGAGGGCUUGUGUGACUUAUGUUCUUGGCUUUCUCUUAGGAACAUGGUGCAGCUUGGCCCUGCAUUAUCCAUCUGGAAAAACAGAUCAUAAAACAGUCCUUCUCUGUACUAAGUGCUAAAGUAGGAGGAAGGGCAUAAGUCAGCUCCCUGAGCUAUAUAUCCUUGUUUUCAGGAGCUGAGCUAGACACAAGCAGAACUUGCAAAUAAUUUACAUUUCUUUCUGCUGAGGUGGUUCAGAAUAAGUUGCAACAAACAUGAACAGGAAUGGUGCAGUAAAU
rnacentral:lncRNA from 10 species